UAGGGAAUCUUCCGCAAUGGACGCAAGUCUGACGGAGCAACGCCGCGUGAGUGAAGAAGGAUUUCGGUUCGUAAAACUCUGUUGUUAGAGAAGAACAGCGCAUAGAGUAACUGUUAUGCGUGUGACGGUAUCUAACCAGAAAGCCACGGCUAACUACGUGCCCGCAGCCGCGGUAAUACGUAGGUGGCAAGAGUUGUCCGGAUUUAUUGGGCGUAAAGCGAGCGCAGGCGGUCAAUUAAGUCUGAUGUGAAAGCCCCCGGCUAAACCGGGGAGGGUCAUUGGAAACUGGUUGACUUGAGUGCAGAAGAGGGGAGUGGAAUUCCAUGUGUAGCGGUGAAAUGCGUAGAUAUAUGGAGGAACACCAGUGGCGAAGGCGACUCUCUGGUCUGUAACUGACGCUGAGGCUCGAAAGCGUGGGUAGCAAACGGG
rnacentral:rRNA from 1 species